ACAUUAAGCAUUUUUUUUAUAUCAUAAUUCUGCACAGAGAGAGUGGUAAGUUCUUCAAAUUUUGUGUCAAUAAAUAUAUGCUCUAUGUACCUACUUGCAUCAUAACGAAAAGUUUGUAGAUUUUUAACUGAUUUUCUGAUAUAUGAAUUAGAACAGACAAGGCUUUGUGAUACAGGCAAGGAUUUGUGAUAUAGGCAGCCACCUUGGUGUAAUCAUAUGAGAGGAGAGAGGAGUGGCAUCUUUCCCGGAAAAUUGAGAGAGACGCCACACCAUGAACAGAUGCCAAGUAGAAUGAUGCAAACCCUUACUAUUCAACCUACUGCUGCGAAAGAUGUCCAAACAAUUCCCAGUACUUCCAAAAUUUUUCAUGUUACUACUGCCCAGAAUUUCAAAGAUGCAGUUGAUUCACUUUCAAAAUUUCUGCAUAUCAUAUCCCUAUGCCUGAAGUUGUCAAUAAACAACGAGGGAAACAGUCUGCUGAAAUUUUG
rnacentral:lncRNA from 1 species